GACGAACGCUGGCGGCGUGCUUAACACAUGCAAGUCGAACGGAAAGGCCCUGCUUUUGUGGGGUUCUCGAUUGGCGAACGGGUGAGUAACACGUGAGUAACCUCUCCUUGACUUUGGGAUAACUUCAGGAAACUCGGUCUAAUACCGGAUAGGAUCUCCUGCUGCAUGGUGGGCGUUGGAAAGUUUCGGCGGUUUGGGAUGGAUUCGCGGGUUAUGAGCUUGUUGGUGGGGUAGUGGCAUACCAAGGCUUUGACGGGUAGCCGGCCUGAGAGGGUGAACGAGGACAUGGGGACUGAGGGACGGACCAGACGGCAACGUGAGGCAGCGGGGGGGAGUAUUGCAGAACGGGGGGGAGCGUGAUGCAGCAACGCCGGGAGCGGGAAGACGGCUUUCGGGUUGUAAACAGAUUUGGCCGGUGACGAAGCGAGAGUGACGGUAAUGGGUAAAGAAGCAACGGCUAACUACGUG
rnacentral:rRNA from 1 species